rnacentral:rRNA from 1 species
CAGUGAAGAAGACUCCGUGGUUAAUACCCACGGACGAUGACAUUAGCUGCAGAAUAAGCACCGGCUAACUCUGUGCCAGCAGCCGCGGUAAUACAGAGGGUGCAAGCGUUAAUCGGAAUUACUGGGCGUAAAGCGAGCGUAGGUGGCUUGAUAAGUCAGAUGUGAAAUCCCCGGGCUUAACCUGGGAACUGCAUCUGAUACUGUUAGGCUAGAAUAGGUGAGAGGAAGGUAGAAUUCCAGGUGUAGCGGUGAAAUGCGUAGAGAUCUGGAGGAAUACCGAUGGCGAAGGCAGCCUUCUGGCAUCAUAUUGACACUGAGGUUCGAAAGCGUGGGUAGCAAACAGGAUUAGAUACCCUGGUAGUCCACGCCGUAAACGAUGUCUACUAGUCGUUGGGUCCCUUGAGGACUUAGUGACGCAGCUAACGCAAUAAGUAGACCGCCUGGGGAGUACGGCCGCAAGGUUAAAACUCAAAUGAAUUGACGGGGGCCCGCACAAGCGGUGGAGCAUGUGGUUUAAUUCGAUGCAACGCGAAGAACCUUACCUGGUCUUGACAUAUCUAGAAUCCUGCAGAGAUGCGGGAGUGCCUUCGGGAAUUAGAAUACAGGUGCUGCAUGGCUGUCGUCAGCUCGUGUCGUGAGAUGUUGGGGUUAAGUCCCGCAACGAGCGCAACCCUUGUCCUUAGUUACCAGCGGGUUAAGCCGGGAACUCUAAGGAUACUGCCAGUGACAAACUGGAGGAAGGCGGGGACGACGUCAAGUCAUCAUGGCCCUUACGACCAGGGCUACACACGUGCUACAAUGGUAGGUACAGAGGGCAGCUACACAGCGAUGUGAUGCGAAUCUCAAAAAGCCUAUCGUAGUCCAGAUUGGAG